AAUGGCUCGACCCAUCAUCAUUUACGGAAGUACUACCAUAACCUCACAUUAAUUUUCGAGUGAAAUUGGGUGUCCGAGUACUGACAAUUAACAGGGAAAACUUUACAUUCCGACUAAGAAUUUCUCAGCUAGUUCCAGAUAUGGGUGUAAGAACAAGUGUUCAAUGGGCCUCAGUGUAAGUUAAGAGCACCUCCUGAAAAUAGUGAUGAUUCACUAACGACAAUUAUGAUUCCUGAGACAGACAGUGAGGAACGUUGCUGAAAUAAGUCAGCUAUCAAUGAGUAAU